rnacentral:lncRNA from 1 species
UGGGUAUCCGAGCUGAGCUCAUGCACACGUUUCUGCGGCUGAUGUCCAGAGCAUUAGCAUUCACUUCUCGCUCUCAGCCAAAGAACUGGUUUAGCAAAGACCCGCACUUGGUGUGUCCCUCAGGGCUGCAUUUCCAUCAGUCACCAACACAGUUUAGUUAAGGCACUCAAUUAUUUUUUUGGUUUUUAUGGUAGGUCCGACGCAAUGACAGCCAAUCCCGAGCUCUGUCUAACUGCAGUUCCAGUGUGUACAGCCUUUGGGCAGUCGGGCGUCAAGACGCGGCCGUUUUCUCCUACACUCCCAGUGAUGGAUAACCUGGCUUUGUUUCUUAUGGCUUCAGAAAAGGGUCGGCUCAAGGACUACUGUUACAAACCAACAAUGGGGAUUUGUGCUUUAAAAAUAAAGGUGGCUAGUAUAAAGCCGAUUAG